GGGUCUCGAACCGGAUUAGAUACCCGGGUAGUCCCAGCCGUAAACGAUGCCAGUUAGGGUGUGGCACAGGCUACGAAGCCUGUGCUGUGCCCGUAGGGAAGCCCGUGAAACUGGCCGCCUGGGAAGUACGUCCGCAAAGAUGAAACUUUAAAGGAAUUGGCGGGGGGAGCACUACAACCGGAGGAGCCUGCGGUUUAAUUGGACUCAACGCCGGACAUUUCACCAGCUCCGACUACAGUGAUGACGGUCAGGUUGAUGACCUCGCCACGACGCUGUUAGAGAGGAGGUGCAUGGCCGCCGUCAGCUCGUACCGUGAGGCGUCCCGUUAAGUCAGGCAACGAGCGAGACCCGCACACUUAAUUGCCAGCAUCAGGUUUCCUGGAUGGGUACAUUAAGUGGACUGCCGCUGCUAAAGAGGAGGAAGGAACGGGCAACGGUAGGUCAGUAUGCCCCGAAUGAGCUGGGCUACACGCGGGCUACAAUGGCCAAGACAAUGGGUUCCA
rnacentral:rRNA from 1 species